GACUUCCGUUUCCGGUGCUGAGCCGGUACCAUUGACUCUCCGGUUGCCCGGGAGCCCCUCGGAAGCUAACAAUGCGAGGGGUCUCUGUUCCUUUUCUCUUCUAUUCUCGCCUAAGCUCCAGCUCUGCCUGACCCAGCGGCCAGCAGCCUGUCGGGUACAGCAGAAGCUCCCAAGUAGCUGAGAAGUUCGUGGAAUCUUCCUAUUGAUAAGGAUCCUGAGGUUUAAGGAAGCAAGUUGCUCAAAGGCACGUGGCAGAACUGUGACCCGAACCCAGACCUGUCUAACUCAGAAGUGUGCUAUUUCCACGACACCAAGCUUGCUCCCCUCCUAUGGGCCAAGCACUGUAAUCAGCGCUGAGGAUACUGAAGCGUUAAGACACGUGUUCAGGAAGAGCUCGUACUCCAGCAGAGGAGGCCUUCGGAAGAAGCGCAGAAGGCCCGGGGAAGAACCGUUACUGAUUUUCCCUUCCCCCAAUCAGAAACUUUUUGAAAAGCCUCUGAGGAGAGUCAGGACCCCUGAAAGGAGCACAUCGAGGCAGCAUCGCGUGGCAGUUUGGCGCGGGGACUCUGGGAGUCGGCAGGUGCCUGACACCCUGCGGUAAGUGCCUGGUCAGUUGUUACCAUCAGAAUCUCUGUCAUCCCCAGUUCUGACACCAAUUGCUCUGUUUCCUUGGGCAAAUUAGUUCAUUUCUGUGGUCCCCCUGUUCCUCCCAUGCCAGCGGAGCCCUCGACAGUUAGUAACUCCUGCGAAGCCCGAAAACGCAACACAAGCAGUGCAAAGGCAAUGCCAGUGAUCAAAAUAACCCACCCCGCUUGCCAUGUAGACGGAUAAUAUCAUUUCACUGGGGACUGCUCUCAGUAAGUGGGCUCUUUUUUCUCUGAAGAGCCUGGAAUCUGUUCCUCAGGGCUGCUAAAACUGGCCUUGUUCUGCGGUCUGAUCCGCUGGCCGACCUGUGUCUACAUUACUAAAACUGGCCGGGGGCCCUGGCACCGUCCCGCCACGUGGGCCGCCAAAUCGCAAGGCCCUUUCUUUUGAGCAAAUAGCAUCGCACACGUUGCCAUCAAGAAAACGAAAGCAUUCACAGUGGCACAGCGUCCAGCUUCUCUCUGUGGCCUUUUGAAACAGUUUUGUGACCAGGGAGUGGCAAGAAACAAAGGUCUUUCUAUCUGAUCUGCUCACCAGGCCGGCGUCAGAUCAUGCAGGAGCCUGCACCCCUCUUCCCCCGGUACCAUCGGAUUGUUAUCGCUGCGCUUGUCUCCUCUCUCUGAGUAGGACGAGGCAGACAGGCAGGCAGAGGAAUAUAUUUCAACUGCCCUUGACUCUGUUUAUAAUCACCAACAUGAAAGGAAGGGAAAGAGAUUGAGUUUAUAGGACUGGCUCUUUGUGUAGCCUAAUUUAUCUCUCUCCAGCAGCAGUGGGCUGAGCAGGUUUCCUUUUUUGUUUCCGAUGCGGGAAGCUGAAAUAUGAAUCUAUGUUGAUGAGAGAAUAAAGGAAUUGAAAGAGGCAUAAGUCUUAUCUUCUCGCAACCCUAGGAGAUCAGCUCUUUGUGACGAAGGGGAUUAUACUUCUGUAAUUAACUGCUUUGCAGCUCCUGGUGAUGGCUCAGGCCUGAAUAAUGGCACCCAGAGAAGUUGGAUAAAAGGCGGGCAGGUGGGUGCAGCCACGAUCAUGAACAAUGGUCUCAGGGCUUGACAUCCUUUCCCAGCGCCCAGCUCGCAGAGGGUCAAGCCAGGAGAUAUUUGUCCCCUGUCUAGCAACAUUCACAGCAGAGAGAAUAGAAUUCCAGAACAAAUAUUUAAAGCUCAUAGAGACCUGUUCCUCUGUAGGCUGGUAGCUGCCCUGAGGUACCUUGAAGACCUAAGCCAGGUUGUACACCCUUUGUGUUCCCGCCAGUGCCCGGGACCUGGUAGGUGCUGACUAAAGCUUGGUGAAGGUGACUGCCCCUUUCCAGCUGUGGGAUUUGGGGAAAGUUGUCUAAUUCUCUGAUCUUCAGUAUACCAUCCACAAAAUGCAAGGGGUCUUGUAGAGUUUGGGGUAAGAAGAGUUCAGAUCAUGAUAAACAAAUGACUUAUCACAUCGCCUGGCACACAUGGCAAGGGAUCAAUAAAUGCUAGCUGUUAUUAUUACAUUGUGGAAUACAGAUGGGUGGCGAGCUCAUCACUGUUUACGACUGCCUUAUCAUGCAAGGCGCCAUACAUACCUUCGUGCCUGAAAGCCUCACAUCGUCCUUGUCAGGUAAGCAGGAUCCUUCCCCCCAUUUCACUGAUGACAAAACAGGCUCAGACUGGAACAGUGACCUGCUCGAGGUAAAGGGCAGUACAGGAGACUGGAAGCCGGGUGUUCUGUCCUGGGCCCCUCCCCUCCCCUCCACACCAGCCUCCCAGGCCCUCAGCCUGUUCCUCGACAGGUGUGUCUGCCCAUCACUCUCCAGACCUCAUCACCCCAGGAUCAAACCUCUGGGCCAUCUUUUUGCUUCCUUUUUUGCUCCCUGCCUGUGUCACUGAGUCCUAGAGAUUCUUGAGAUGUUUUCAGAACUUCUCCCUACUCAAUCCUGCUGCCACUUAACACUGGCCCAGCACCUGCUCGUUUGAUAACCAGGUUUCCUACAGCGAGCAGGCUCUUGAGUGGUGUCUAAAGGAGGGCGAAGCUCCCUUCCCAUCACCCCCGACACCAGUGCCAGGUGAGUGGUCCCAACCUCCACUUCCCUGUCCUUCCCUGCGAGGGAUCAGCGCCCACAGCGUCAGCUCCACCGUCCUUUUCUGGGAUGCAAGGCCCUUCAGCUGACCCACCCUCACUCGCAGUGAGAACCCCCUGCUCCGGCUGAGCCUGCCUUGUCUCCAUCAGGUAGGCACCCCACGGCCUCUCUGAGCGCUCAAUGGAUUAGAUCCUUGAUAAGGAUGCAAAUGCCCCAGAGAGGAUGCUCCAUUCAAUGCAUAGGCAGUGCUUGACAGAGCCAUGAACAGAGAGCUCCUCUCUUCCAUCCACCCACGCGUUCUACAGAUGGACCCUGAGGCCCAGUGGCUUAGCCAAAGCCACACAGUGAAUGAGUUUCAGAGCCAAGUCUCACACCUAGGUCUUCUAGCUUAGAAUUCAGUGCUCAUCCAUUAGACCAAUGGACUGCAUUGCCCUCAAUGGUGAUGGCAGCCACUGGCCAGGGUGGUGGCGGGGGCACCUGAACUCAGUCUCCACGUGGGCGGUGGACCUGUGUGAUUCACCAAAGGGACGGCCUGAUGAGGGAAAACGACUGAGUUAGGCCCUGCGGCAGGGCUGUGGUGGGCAGGAUCUGGGGGGUGGGGGAGACAGGGUUGGAGACUGAAAUCUAGGGAGAUUGUCAUGGAAAUCAGCGAUUGUAAGGCAGGUGAAAAUGCAGCUGUAUACUGGCCUGGCAAUGUACUCUGGGAACGUAGCAAUUAACUUCUCAACUCAUGGGAGAUGGGAUCCAGGAGGGCUUUGGGGAAGAAGCGGCCUGUGACUUGGGUCUGAAGAAGCAGGAGGAGGCUGUUCAGGGGCUGUCGGGGACCAGGCGUUCUGCAUUGAGGGAGCAGCGUGGACAGAGGCAGGGAGGCCGAACAGCCUGGGCUGUAUGUGGGGAAUAGCACAGCGGGCAGCAAGGGAACCUGGAAAAAAGCAGAGGAACCUGAAUUGAUGUUUUGACUCUGCAGCUAGUCUGACCAGCUCAGGAUCUGGACAAGUCAUUUUAUCUUUCUGGAUCUUAGUUUCCUUAUAUGUGAAACUGGCAUAACGAUAUUAUCUGUCUCCUGAGGGUUAUAGUGAGGAUGAACCAAAAGAGUAAGGCACCAAAUAUAGGGCCUGGUACAUAGUAGGUGCUCAACAAAAGGCCCAGUAUGGCCGGAGGGUAGGUCCUGUUGGAACGCAGGGACAAGCAGGGGCUUGGGCGUUGCUGUAUGUUUUCUUUUGCCUUCUGAUGGGCCCUUUCCCCUCCUUCCAGGGGCUCCCCAGCUGGCCUGGGAGGGCUGCUCACCCACUUAGAGUUGCCAGGAUGUUUGGCCAUUCUCGGGUCCAGAACGAUCUUCUGGUUCCGUCAUCAUCCUUAAGCUCUUUCCAGCCUGAACACAACUGGGGCUAGCGUUCCAGGUCUGGUCAUGUUUGCUGGCAGGGCCCGUGUUUGGGAGCGACAGCUCUGUUUAGGUAGAAACAGACACUGAAAACAGCUGCUGGCUUCUCUGCCUUG